rnacentral:lncRNA from 1 species
ACUCAUGUGCAAGCUCGUGUGUCGAGAGAUUCAAGAUACUUUUUCACCAAAAUUUUUCGUUUCGUUCCAGAAAAGUAAAACCCGGCGGAUGCUCUCACAAAAAAUUUCACCGUUAAUGACCUGUUCUGUCGUUCCUCUACAGUGAAGACUGGCCAGGAUAUCCCCAAGAAAUCUAUAUGAAUGUUCGUAAGGAUCUGGAAAUCAAAGAGACUAAACAUCUAGGAAAAAAAUGUAGGGGAAAGAUAGGAACAAUUUGUAUGGAGUUUGAAGGAGAUGAUAACCUUAAGACUUAGGGAUUAAAGUUAGAAGACACACUUGUGUGGAAAGAUGUUCUUAAUUAAGUAAAUAAAGAGGAUAAUAUGGGAGCAAAAUUGAAAGUCGUUAGAGCUCUUCUAGGGAACGAAGAUUUUAAAAAGAAAGAAUUUAGAAGGUUAUGUCCUGUCUACGAUGCAAUAGACGAAGUUUAUAGAGUGGGUUCGCAUUUGGUGAAAAUAAAUUGGAUGACAAAAGAACAAAAAUGGCCUAUGAUUAUUCCUGGAGGCAUAGUUGCAAAAUGUAUCGUACAUCACCAUGAGAAGGUUUAUCACGGGGGAACAAGACGAACCCUUGCAUCUAUUUUACAUGAUGGGUUGUGGAUAAUUGGAGUAUCACGUAUAGUAUGGAAAGUUAUAAAUACAUGUAUCGAUUGUAGAAUUUCAAAUCGGCCAGCUAUGGUUCAACAGAUGGUCAAUUACCCGGUUUUUGUAUGGCGAAAGAACAAAAGCUGUUUGAAUGUACAUCCCUUUAACUUCUAGGGAUAUUCAUUUAGAAUUGACUUAUGAUUUAUGUGGUGGAGGAAAAGGAUUGUCAUCAAAAAAGUUCCUUUCAGCGUUCCAGAGGUUUGUGACUUUGAGUGGAGUACGAGCAGGAGUAAUGUAUUCCGAUCAGGGAAAUAAUUUAGUUGGAGCUCACAAAGAAAUUAAGAGAAUAUGUGAUCAUUGGAGUGAAUUUAUGAAAAAUGAAACAAUACAAACUAACGAUUUGGAGUGGAAGUGGAACUGCCCUCUCGCUCGUCACAUGAAUGGAGCUGUUGAAAGUUUAAUAAAAAGGUGUAAGGAAGGCUUUAAACGGAAUUAUGAACUAUAAAGACGUAAUGUUAACCCCAGAUGAAUGGUUUACAAUAUUGUGCGAAAUAACUUUAUGGUAAAUUCGAAGCCAUUAUUUCCUAUUAAUUCAGCAAGUCCUUUGGACGAAGCAGGUCUCACUACACUGAACAGCCUCUUAUACGGGAAAGGAAUAAUAGUGGACCAACUAGAUGAAGCCGAAUCUAGUUUUCUUCGUAAAAGAUUCCAACUAAUUAAAAGAAAAACUGAUAUUUUCUUGAAAUUACGGAUAAGAUUUAUGCAUCCACAGUUAAUGUUGAGGACAAAAUGGUUCAAAACGAGAUAAAAUAUUAACAAAGGUGAUUAUGUGAUGGAAAAAAAGUCUAAAACCUGGUGGAAUCAUGUCAGAAGGUGUCUGGAAAGCGGCAUUGUCUCAAAAACAUAUCCUGGAGAUCAAAUUACCAUCAUAAUUAAAACUUACAGUUCUUUGGAGCCCCAAAAUUGAAUAAAAACUGAUGUAUUUUUAGAUAGCACAUUCUAAUCCAGAAGUUCUAUGUAAGCAUCUGCAUUGAGCUGCUUCUUUCUCUCCACAAAAAUGGGAGGACAUUCUUCACCUUUACUGGCUAUAACGCCGAAGACCAUGGUUCUGGCUGGAUUGUUUGUUUUGAAGAUACGUCACACUGAAGUUGAUACAUUGUCUGGAUUUUCGGUGUUAAUGUGGUUAAUGUAGGGUUGUUCUGCUUAUUCACAGUGGCAUCAUUUUAAAAAAAUCUCAUAAAAAAGUAAACCAAGCCCCUCCAAAAUAUAAUCAUGUGUACGCCCCUGAUGGAUGUAUCGGUACACACAACAAAGGUUACAUAGUUCUUUUUAUAAACCAACAUUCUGUUCUCCAAAAAACAAUGUGGCCUCAAUAUUUGGUAUAUGCAACCCGAUUGACUUUUCUUCUCAAAGUAUGUCGAAGCCAGGGACUGCUCGACAUGGGUACCGAAUCUAAAAGCACUCAGGGUUUUCAUUGAUGAACUUCGGAACUCCUUGAGCCCCAAUUACAUUAUUACCACUCCUCAGAGCUUUCGGCUGCACAUCAAUAGCAUAAUCAAAUUCGAUCGAGGCUGUUUUGUUGAUUAGAAAUGGCGAUGCAUUGCCAAUAACAGUUUCAUUAAUGUAGCUUCCCUCGUAUCCGAAAUUUAACUGGUUAAAAUUGAAGAUACUGUAGUAACUGUCACCCGAACGUUGAAGCCAUGAAGGUUUCCCGUCGACGAGAAGUAGGCUGCCAUGGAUCCAAACUUCAUUUGCAAUACUUGCGACUCUUUUUGAAAGAGGCUUGUCACUAUCUGUGAGGCCAAUGGCGGCCGAAUAGAAAAUAAUCAUUUAGACAUAAGCUAUAUCAGAAAAAUAUUAAUAAAGAUUUUUGUUAUAUUUAUAAUUAA